rnacentral:tRNA from 1 species
GCCUCUGUGGUGGAAUGGUAGACAUGGCAGACUCAAAAUCUGCUGCUUUUUAAGCGUGCUGGUUCAAGUCCAGUCAGAGGUACCA